UUCACCUGAGAUCCUUCCUGAGAGGCCUCAUAGUUGGCUCGUUCCCUCUCUUCCUGUCUACGUCCCAUGUCUUCUACAUCCUGAAUGGUUUGAUUUACUUUCUUUAAUGUCCUGCCUACUUCAGUGGUUACUAUUUGUCUCAAUUCAACCACUUCCUUGUGUAGCUGCUCCAUUGAGCUAGUAAUCUCCUCUACAUCGACAUCCAUUUCUCCCCCAUUGAUUGUCAUCACUACCUGCUGUUUGGGCUGUUCGUAUGUAGGGGGAUGGCUUAAUGUUGGGUAUAAUAAAGUGGGGUUGGGUUUUUCUGAGGGCGGAGCAGAGGGGGUAGUCUGAGCACUUCCUGUAUUCUCUUCCUUUUUCUCUUUGACUUUUGAGCUGUCUUUCCUGCACUAAGUGCUGUAGCUGUCAUUGCUAGUCUGGUCCACAUACGCAAUCUUUUCGUAAGCUCUCCUCGUUCACCUAUAUGUCUGCUUGAUUUAUACCACUUCACUUUAUCUUUUUCUUCCUGAUGUCUUUGUAACCUACAAUAUGCUCUUCUCUCCAUGUCUCUAAUUUUUGGUGCUAACGGAGUCAUCACCUUUUCUGCACUUUCCCAUCCACACUCAUCACAUAAUGCUACCCAACACUUAUCAAUUUCUUUCUGUCUUUGCUUUCUAUCUUUUGGUUCUGCCUGUGCUAAUAACAUAUCUGUAACAUUUUGCCACUGCACCAAUACUGGCGGACACCCGUAUUCGUCGCAUUCUUUCUGAAAUUCGGCCAUUUUACGCACAAAUUCUAUUCACAGUUUGCAAAACUUAUACAGUAUCUUUUUUCACACAGUUAAGUCAGUUUUCACAUUAAUUUUCACAUCAGCAAUUGCAUUCACUUUUAAAAAACAUUCAAACAUAUAACAGACAAUUUUGGAAUAUUCCUUUAUGAGUUCGCCGACUCAAAGGGAUUUAUUUCACCCUGGCCUUUUUCGUCCCAGACGCGAUUACCACAACGCACUUUAUGAGUUCCAAACUCAAAGGGAUUUAUUACCCUGGCCUUUUUUGUCCCAGACGCGAUUACCACAACGCAAUUUAUGAGUUCCAAACUCAAGGGUUUUUAUUACCCUGGCCUUUUUUGUCCCAGACGCGAUUACCACAACGCACAAAAUAUUGAGACCCAGUCUCUAAUUUCUUCAAUUCUUAUACUAUUACUUUUUAAAUCUGAUUUCUCAAACUUCUUUUUAUAGUUUACUUUUACUUACUCGGAAUGUUCAUCAAGUUCAACACAGCAAUUUAGGUAUAUUCAAUAGCAGAAUUUUGAAUAAACAGGCUUCUGCUUACCUUUUUAUCUUUAGGUCGACCUGUGUGUUGAACCUGAAUCCGUUCCGAUUCUCCAACGAAAUGUGCAAAAGAUGCCUUCGUCUCUCGUCAAAUCACGUCACGGGUCACCAAUUGUUGGACUUAAUGGUCAGUCCUGCAUGCUCAAAAAUUUGCACAGAGACGUUCUCCAAAAUUAAACAGACGUUUUAUUAUCAGAUGUAAAAAGGGUAACAAAGCUUUGGGUUGUCAGUCGCUCUCCACACUCUCUCAAAAGCCAACAACCCAGAUUAUUCAAAAAACACACAUAUUUAUUCAGUAUUUGACGUCGUUCUCAUCUUCUGACUCCUCCUUUUUCUCUGGGGAGUAUUGCUCCUUAGCAACCAAUCACCGUGAACCACGUUUAUCUGACUCCGUCCUUCUUUGUUAGUUCCUGCAAAACAACAUCUCUCACAACACAUGUUUUACAUCCUGUGGUCAGUCGCUAGUUUUGGGGAGUGUUCCCUAGAGACAGUUUCUUAUGGCCGGACAACAUACCAACAUUCUUUUAGUAAAAAGAAAACACUCAAUCAUCUAAUGCUUUUAAUUAUGUAGCGUUGUUUCUUAAUCCUAUGAUUCAUUAAAACACAUCACAACUCAUGAUUAUACUUAAAACAAAUGCAGUGGAUUGAUUCAUAACAUUUCUUUUAUGUGUGACUCUUUGUGUGUGUGUGUGUGUUGACUUAGUUAAAUUUAUGGUUCCAACCCCCACUUAUCCUGUCUCACUCCGCUUGCCACAGUAACUUUUCACUGAGUAAAAUAGCAAGCACAUGAUAAAAGCACACAGCUUAAUGAUUUAAUGAAAGAAAACACUUAUUGAUUAUAUUGAUAAUUAAAUCAUACUUUUAACUGAAAAAUAUUUCCACAAGAUCAAUCAUUUAACCCCCCCUGGGGUCCGAGUGGGUUUUAAAUCCUGGAGAAAUUUUGUCAUGUCCUGAGAUUUGUGCUUUUUAGUAAUGCACCCAUAUUUUAAUCCAUUGUUAUAAGUGGUGGGACAUUAUCACGUCGUGCUGUCAAUCACUCUCUGGUAACGUUACGCUGAGAACCCUCAAAGGCUUUUCAUUUAUAAUUAGCACUACACGAACCAGAAAUAUCACGCAAACAAAGCAAAUACAACAAAUCCGUGUUAUAUAAUGUACAUUGUCAGUAAAAAACAAGGUUCUUGAAGAACACAUUAACGUAUAUUUAAAAUGUAAUGGGAACUAGCAUUCUAGCACUACACAGGCAGCAGACAACGAUAGCGCGGGCUGCAUAAAUCUGGUCUCAGAACAGAUUACAAUUUAUGUCCUAACGUUACAUCGUUUCUGACAUCAGCCUUUUGAGCUUUAGACGUCUGAGGAAUUAAAAAGAAUGCCAUUAAAUGGUUAAAUAUCGUAAAUUAGUGUCACUCGUCAUAGGCUGUGGUAAAGUCAAUUCAAUUUUACCUCAGGUGGAAUAUGGCAGGUACACGCAGGCUUACAAAAUGCAAAGGAAAAUGAAAGUUAAAACAGGGUUCCCGGUGCUUGAUUACACGGAUAACAAAAACACGCUUAAGAAAAUAUAAAUUUUACCUUCUUAUUUUUUAUUAUUUCCAGUCCCGACUCGAUAAACUUGCUGCUCGGUGGAGUUGCCAGCGCGCCACUGCUCUGCCAAAGAUAUCCUUCCGCCGAUAAAGAAACUCAUCUGUAGUUUUAUUUAUUUAUUUUAUUUAAAUCAUAGCUGUCAUUUAAACAUUAAACAUUUUCAACAAAAGAAUAUUUAAUUAUGUGAUAUAAGAAAAAUCUACCAAAAAUCUAUCAAAACUGAGGAGAACUACUUUGUCAAGCGGAACAAAGUGUUCUCGGUCAGAGGUGUACUCGACUCCAUGCAUCACCUGCGCAAAGCAAUCGGGUUAUGACAUCAAGAUACCGCGACAUCGUUUCUAGGCAAAUGCUUCUUGAUCGAUUGCAAAUAAAUUGUUUACUUUACGUUCUUUGUGUAUGUUUUUGACCAGCAAACAAUGUGUAAUGAAGAAUUGGUGUAAAUUACAGUAGAAGUUAAAUAAUUUCUGUCUGUAAGGAUUUUUUGGUCACCCUAAUAAAAUCACUGGGUCUUACCUGGCCACCUCUAAAAAAAUAUUCUGGCUACGCCCCUGCCUAUAUAGCGAAUGCUAAAUAGUCCACUAUAUGGUGAAGAAGUGAAUGAAAAUGAGUGAACAAUUUCGGACAGUGACGUAAUACAUCCUGCGUCUGACAGUACUGUCACGGACAUUCGUCAUAACGCUUAUAAUACACCUGUGUGACUUUAUGGAUUUUUUCGUAAAAUUGUAAAGUUCAUUUUUACAUUAUUUGUCACGUUUAUUGUAGGCUAUUAGUUUUUAAUGAAGAGAAAAAAAACAAAUGUUUGCACGUUUAUUUACUAUUACAUUUAUUACGUUUAAUAAAAUUACUUAAUGUAUUUAAAAUAUAACACUGCUAUAUAUAACAUUCAUUUAAUCUGUUUAUUCUCAAAAAGUAGAAUAUAACUAUCAACAAGAACAAACACAAGUGUAAAAUCGUACAUUUGUACAAUUAAUUAAUGGUCACUCUCCUCCAGCUGAUUCUAAUCAGACUGAUUCGCGUUGUAUCAUGGGAAAUAUGAGUGAGCGAGUGUACACCCGAUGUACACUCAAAAUCAGAAUGCAUUGUGGGUAAAAAGUAGUUAACAAAUGUAGGGAAUGAGUUGUUUACUCAGAAUUCGGACAACACUACAAAAUGGUGGACACCCGAUAUAGUGCACUAUAUAGGAGGUAGGGGGCAAAUUCAGACACAGUUGGUCAUCACACCGGAAAGAGCAAUCGGUGCUUUCUAAUCACUCUCGCGGUACUUUGUUGUCAUUCGCUGUUCAGUCUGCGGAGCGCCGCGUGAAGUCGAUCACAAUUGCGAUUAGAAAGCACUUCAUCUUUCUGGCAUGACAACCUCAAGUCUGUCCCAAAAUGCACUCUCAUGUACCCUUGUGGACUUGGACAUAGUGCCCUAUAUGUCUGCACUUCCUGACAUCACCAGCUGUGGACUCCGAGGAGGUCCACAAGACCGGAGUGUGCCAAUUGGACCAGGGCCCUCAACUCCAGUCCUCGGGGCCCACCUGACAGAAUAUUUUAGAUGUGUCUCUUUUGAACAAGCUAAUGAGAUGAAUGAAGUGAUGAUUGAGUAAUUAAUGAUGAACACCUGCGGUUAACAAACACAAUCACAGAAGAAAACAUGAACAAUAAGUAGUCACCAUAAUGGUGUUUAGUGUUUCAUUCAGUUGACCUCUUGACUCUUGAUUUCUUAUGUUAAAUUAUAUUCUGGUCAGCUGUGAUAGUGUGUUUGUUGCAGCUGGAAUCAGGUGAUGUUGAUGGUUUUCUUCAGUGAUUGUGUUUGUGAACAGCAGGUAUUCAUCAUUAAUGAUCAAUCAUCAUUCGGACAGUCAAAAAAGCAUUUCACUGCAUGUCGUACUAUGUAUGGUUCUGUAUGUGACGAAUAAACUUUGAACAUUGAACACUUCAUUAUCUCAUUAGCUUGUUAAUGUGUUCAAUAGGGAGACAUCUAAAAUAUUCUGUCAGGUGGCCCCAAGGACUGGAGUUGAGAACCUAUGUCAUUUGGGACACAGCUACUGAUUCACGACCUGGGGAGCUAUGCUGGGUUCAGAUUGUGCGAUUUUGGGCUGUCUCAGACGAAAGAUGACAACCGUGGCGAUUUCUGUGGUCGUGGCUCGUAAACGCUGGUCCUACAUCACACAGUGAGAGAGACUGAAAGACGGCCGUUGUCAGUGUCUUGCGAUCAAAGACAUUCUGCAAUCAUUUUCUGGCAUUGUCAUAAAUUUAGCUUGAUCGUACGACCCACACCUACUGAGCAGCCAGUAAAAAUGCAACAUGAAACGAUGUAUUGAUUAACACUACAUGGAAAUAAAAGUUAAACGCCAUGGAGGCAAAAAAAAAAAGAUAAUAAUAUUGCUCUCUUCCGCUGCCACCUCUUCUUUUUUCCAGCACACAUGAACAGCACAACUGCCAAAGUGUGAUUCAUGUUGCUGUUUUUGUUUACAAUUUGCACACGUUUUUUUAGCUUGCACCGUAGCCAAGAUUCAGGAGGUGUCACCAUCGUAUAGUGUACAUGCAUGUAGUUCCCAAGUUUAUUAGAUCCAUGUGUGACCUGUCAUGAUAUUAUAAGGUCGCUGAAUUCGCACAGUCUGUAGCAUGCACAGCCAUAAUAAAUACCUACACACCGCAUUGGUCACAUUGGUACACUGCUGCGAUAACGUCAGCUGCCAAAUUACUCUGGACAAAAGCCCACACAACUGAACGGAAGAUCUGCACUUUUUGGCAUUAAAAGCACAAUCACGUUGUUUUAUUAAUGUACUUCCUUUAUCAUAAAGUUACUAGCAAUUAAGUAUCAAUUUACAAGUAUCAAAUAAAUACAUAAACAGAACAGAGGCUAGUCUAGUUUACACAAUUAUAAACUACCUAAGCAAAAGCUACCAAACAGCAGCACCACCAGGCUUGACAUACUCCAAAAUGUAAAUAAACAACACGUAUCAACUGGUUGUAAAAUACGGUCUCCCUCCAGCAACAUGCUUCCCACAAUAACGAAGACUUAAGAGGAACUGGUUUUAUCCCCAAUGUAGAAUAUGAAGGUCUUCCAUUGCUCCUCCUGAUACUGAAUGAUGUUUGUUCCAACAGAUAUUCUCUUAUGCUCACAUACACAGUAUUAUUAUUAAUAUUACAAUAAUUAUUUAUAAUAUAAACUGUAUCAUCAAAAAUGAUGUACAGUCAUGUGGAAUACAAGUACAAGCAUACUUCAACAUGAUGAAGAAUCUUUGAGGUCUUUCCUAUUGACUUUAAUUGUGAAAAUUAGUACACAAUGUUAAUUUCAUGUGUCAUAUUAUAGAUUAUAUUAAUUUAUUAUUAUGUACAUGAAGCGCGUAAGUAUAAUUGAUUAAUCUUGUCUUAUUGAGUUUAAACGCAGUGUCGUUGCUUUGUUUAUUUCCGCAUUUGUCACGUGGUAAACUCGCGUUUGUUCUCGUGCUGGUUUCGUUGUUAUUGGGAGAUAUUGGGAGGCGUGUCCUGCUGAAUUCAAUAGCGUGAUUCAGACGGGUAUUUAAGUGUGAUUAACCACCGCGGCAGCGGUCGCGUGCAGCCCUCAUCGCGUGAAGACCAAAGAGCGUAAAGACCAUCGACUCUACCUGCGCGACUCCACCGACAAGGCACUUGAGUAUUGCACCUCAGUAUUAACUUUUUGCACUUCUAUUUAUUCUCUUCUUUUUAUUUGUUAUUCCUUAUUCCACGUUUUUGACUAUGUGUUUUCAAAUCCCUACUCUCACUACAACUCGUAAAUCACUGUUAUCAAGUAGAAGGCCACGCAAUGCUAAUGCUAAUAAUUUGCACACACUUUCAGCAUCCACAACUACCUCAAUUACAUUUCCCAUUGGUUUAUGGAACUGCCAAUCUGCUGUAAACAAAGCAGAUUUCAUCACAGCUAUUGCUAAACAUUCUGGUCUUUCUCUUUUAGCACUUACUAAAACCUGGAGCCAGAGGACACUGCCACACCUGCUGCUCUCUCCAAUAACUACACUUUCUCCCACAGCCCACACAUAUCAGGGAAGGUGGAGGAACCAAUCUACUUAUUCCUAAUGACUGGAAAUUCAAACAGCUGGCACCCUCAUGCGACAACAUCGCCUUCGAGUCUCAUGCUGUUACUGUCAUCCACCCUGUUAAAACACAUGUUGUAGUUAUCUAUCAUCCCCCAGGUCAGCUUGGACAUUUCUUGGAGGAGUUGGAUGCGCUUCUGUCAUCCUUCCCCGAGGAUGGUACUCCUCUGGUGGUACUUGGAGACUUCAACAUCCACCUUGAAAAACCACAGGCUGCCGACUUCAACAACCUGACUGCGUCGUUUGACCUCAAGCGAGUCCCCACUUCAGCAACCCAUAAAUCUGGUAAUCAACUUGAUCUUAUCUACACACGCUACUGCUCCACUCAUCACUCCCAGGUCACCCCACUGCACAUGUCGGAUCAUUUCCUCAUCACGCUUCAUCUCGACCUAACUUGUCCAGACACUACACAUGCUUCCCCACUGGUCACAUUCCGGCGCAACCUACGAACACUCUCUCCCUUCCGCUUAUCCUCUGCGAUCUCAGCCACGCUCCCUCCCUCUGAACAGCUCUCACUCUUUGAUGCUAACAGCGCCACCCACACUCUUUUCUCCACACUAACCUCCUGCUUAGACAGCUUAUGCCCUCUUACAUCUAGGCCAUCUCGUGCAUCCCCUUCUGCCCCCUGGUUAUCUUAUGUUCUCCAUGAGCAUCUUGCCACGCUCAGGUCUGCUGAGAGAAAGUGGCACAAAUCUAAAGAACCCGCUGACCUCAGUCUCUAUCAAUCUCUCCUCUCUUCUUUCUCUGCUGAUGUCUCCUCUGCAAAAACCCAGUACUACCACGCUAAAAUCAACAACUCUCCUGACCCUCGUACUCUCUUUAAAACCGUCUCUGCUCUUCUUUGCCGCCUGCCCCCUCACCUCCAUCGGACUUAACAGCUGAUGAUUUUGCGUCUUUCUUUGUAAAGAAAAUGACCACCAUCAGCACUCAAUUCUCUGCGCCGCCGCCUCUUGACCACGCCCAAUCCCCAGACACAUGCUCACUCCCCUCUUUCUCUCUCCUAUCUGAAGACGACAUUUCCAAAGUCAUUUCUUCUAACCACCCGACUACCUGCCCGCUAGAUCCCAUCCCCACUCAUCUCCUCCAGGCCAUCUCUCCAUCGGUUGUUCCCACUCUGACCCACAUUAUCAACUCGUCUCUCACCACUAGUACAUUUCCCACACUCUUCAAAUAGGCCUGUAUUACCCCACUACUGAAGAAACCCACUCUUAAUCCUGCACUGUUAGAAAACUACAGACCGGUAUCCCUCCUCCCCUUCAUUGCUAAAACUCUUGAACGUGUUGUAUAUAACCAGCUCUCAUCCUUUCUCACCCAGAACAACCUCCUGGACAGCAACCAGUCUGGUUUCAAGAGCGGUCAUUCCACUGAGACUGCGCUGCUCUCUGUCAUUGAAGCCCUGAGACUGGAAAGAGCCACCUCUAACCCAUCUGUUCCUAUCCUAUUGGAUCUAUCUGCCGCCUUUGACACCGUUAACCAUCACAUCCUCCUGUCGACCCUCAAGGCUAUGGGUGUCUCUGGAAUGGUCCUACAAUGGUUCAGGUCUUACCUCUCAGGUAGGUCAUUUAGAGUAUCCUGGAGAGGUGAGGUCUCUGAGUCCCAACAUCUCGACACAGGGGUGCCUCAGGGCUCAGUGCUUGGUCCGUUGCUAUUUUCUGUAUACAUGACAUCCCUAGGCUCUGUCAUUCGGAAACAUGGCUUUUCCUAUCACUGCUAUGCGGUCUUUUCAGCCUGACGAUCCGACUGUUUCUGCACGCAUUUCAGCAUGCCUAGCCGACAUCUCGCUCUGGAUGAAGGACCAUCGCCUGCAGCUGAACCUUGCAAAAACAGAACUGCUUGUAAUCCCGGCCGACACAUAGAUUCAUCACAACUUCUCCAUUCAACUGGGCUCAUCAACCAUCACAUCUUCCAGAAAGGCCAGAAACCUGGGAGUGGUGAUCGAUGAUCAGCUUAACCUCACAGAUCAGGUUGCCAGCACCACCCGGUCCUGUAGAUUCAUCCUCUACAAUAAUAGGAAAAUUAGACCCUUCCUAUCAGAGCAUGCUACGCAAGUCCUAGUCCAGGCUCUUGUUCUGUCCAGACUGGACUACUGCAAUGCGCUACUGGCUGGACUUCCAGCUUGCACAACCAAACCUCUACAGAUGAUCCAGAAUGCAGCGGCAAGAGUGGUCUUCAACGAACCGAAAAGAGCAAACAUCACCCCUCUCUUCAUUAAGUUACAUUGGCUCUCUAUAGUGGCUCGCAUCAAAUUCAAGACUCUGUUCCUGGCCUACAAGACCGCCACUGGUUCGGCACCCUCUUAUCUUCACUCGCUAAUGCAGACGUACGUACCCGCAAGAUCCCUACACUCUGCAAACGAACGACGUCUUGUGGUGCCGUCCCAAAAAGGUAAAAAUUCUCGCUCACGUACCUUCUCGGGAUCGGUUCCACUUAUGUGGAAUGAUCUGCCCGCUGCUACAAGCUCUGCAGAUUUUGUAGCCAUCUUUAUGAAUCAUCUGAAAAUGCAUCUCUUCCGUCAACACCUGACCGAUCAGUUCUGACUUCUAUUUAUUUUCUACUCUUUCAAAUAAAAAGAAAAAAGAAAAAAAGAAACCUUCCAACUUAGCUCUGUAUGCUGUGGUAUGCUAUAUGAGACCAGUUUUUUUAUUGCACUUAUGCUUUUUGUUGUCCUUAUGUUGUCCCAAUUGCUUCCAUUGUUUACCCCAUCUGUAAGUCGCUUUGGAUAAAAGUGUCAUGAACGGUGGGUGGUGAGAGACACGAAGACAAGGACAGAGGACCCAAGUGCAGACAGCGGGUAAGGGGUUAACACAAACUUUAAUAAAAAUAAGCAACAAAACAAAGACCCACGUGGGGGUAAAGUAACAAACAUGGACACAGGAACAAGACUAACUAAACUAACAGGACUAGACUAAAACACAUCACAACUACAAAAUAAACUAAACUAACUCAAAGACAGGAACUCACCACAUUACACAAACACGACAGUACAAUGAACCAGCACGAGACAGAAGACACAAGGGCAUUAUAAAGGGGAUAAAUCAAGAGGGGACAGGUGCAGGACAUGAACUAAUUAACAAACAAUAACGAGGCGAAAGGGCGGGAACAGAGACGCCACACCGGAGAGAGGGAGUAUAUGGAAUGCCAAAACUGACUCUCUCCACAUAAAACAAGAGGUUCUAUCAUGGUUCUGCCACUAGGUCAAGAAAAGCAAGACAAGGUGAGACAGAACCAUGACAUAAAAGCGUCUGCUAAGUGACUAAAUGUAAAUGUAAAUGUAAAUACUACCUGACAUGAAGUCUAGACAAACUGUACUAUAAACACAAACUGUAAAGACUGAGUAGGAAAAAAUAUCAAUUGGCUUUCGGAUACAUAAUACAUAAGAUAACUGAGUAAAUUUUUUGAGGUGUAUGAUUUGUGAUAAACAAAAGUUAUCAUAACACCACCGCAUCAAUGUGAAAACACAUGCACUGGCCCUGAUUUGUUGGAUGGGCAUACAUCUGAUGGAGAUGAUGUUCACAGACAAAGUAUAUGUGCUUUACACUGCAUCUUCUGGACAUCUUACAUACAAAAGUGAUUAAAGAAAAUAUUUUGAUAUGAUUAAAGAAAAAAUGUUAAGCCCUCAAGUCCUAAAAACGGCACACUAUAAAUAUUUACAGUGUUAUACAUUAAUAAUUUCCAUUCUAUUUUCAGCUAUAUCAAAGGACAUUUAUAAGGCUUUAGUGGACAUCAGUGACAACCUUUUUCAGCGGUGGAGGCUUCUGGGGAUAGAUAAAAAAAAGAUUGGUAGCAAAAAGAGAAUGAUUUACUGUUUUAUGACAAACAAAUGUUUAAUUAAAACGGGAAAGUGAUAGUUAAUUGUGCUCUACUGGUCAAAAAGACACAUCAGCGCCUGUUCUUUCUAGGAAUCUGAAAAAGAACCAUCUCUCUUCAGAAAUUCUGGUGAACUUUUACUGAUGCGCCAUCGAGAAUAUUCUGACCAAAUGUAUUUUAGAAACUGCUCUGUAUUAGACCGGAAAGCAGUUGGUGGUGAAAACUGCCGAACGCAUCGCUGGAGUUACACUUCCAAACAUGGAAGAUAUUUACAGGAAACACUGUCACAGGAAAGCACACAUCAUCGUAAAAGACUUCUCCCACCCUCCUCUGGGAGGCGCUACAGGAGCCUCCGGACCAGAACUACUAGGUUCAAGAACAGCUUUUUUCCUUCAGCUGUUUCCACUCCGAACUCUAUCCCCCAGUAAUUCCAUCAUCCCCCCUCACCCCAUUACACAACAUCUUCUCCAUUGUACUAUCCCUAACCACUGCACUCACAGUAUACAUCACCUCCUCCUUGAAUAAUAACUUAAUUUCUAAAAAUAGCCAAGGUCAAAAGUUUACAUCCCCCUGAUUAGUAAUACCGUAUGAUAUUACCUGCAUAAUCGAUGCCCAUUUUUAUGUGUUGUCAUAGUUGUUUAAGGGUUUCUUGUUUGUCCUGAGUCAUUUAUCUGUAAACCUCUGAAAAUGACAACUGGUGUAAUUGUUUAUAUUUCAUUUCCUGAUAAAUAUAUAUGCAUUUUAUAUCUUCUUAAGGACAUUACUAAAUGAAAAAUAAGAUAUAUAAACAACAACAAAAAACAAUUUACUCCAAUUGUCAUUUUCAGAGGUUUACCCACCUGACUUUAAAUGAACGGUGUUGCCUUCAUGAGCAUCACUGAAUGUUUCUAUCUAUUGUAAUAGUUGUGUAUCAGUCUCUUGAUUGUCCUCAAUGUAAACACAUGAAUCUCAACAUCAUACUGUUACUUUUGGACAUGAGUCAAAUAUCCAGGAAUGCUGAAAAAACAAAGAUUCUGAAGGACCUGGAUAAUUUAUCUGAAGAUCAGUGGACAGUUUAAUGACUCAGGGCAGGACUAAAUUAAAAAUAAACCUUAAUUUUAAAAAUUCCUUGUAUUUUUCCUCAAAUUUCAGCAUUUUCCAGAUUCUGCAAGGGGUGUAUAAACUUUUGACUUCAAUUGUAAACACACCACCAAUGCACUUCUGGUUAGAUGCUAACUGUAUUUCGUUGCCUCGUACUGUAACAUGUGCAAUGACAAUAAAGUUGAAUCUAAUCUAAUUAAUCUCUGGCAAUGACUAGCCAUUUUAGUCAUUGCACACAUUUCCAUGACCUUACUACAAAUACUACCUUGGUCACAUCCUUCAAAUAUUUUUAGUUAAAUUUGAUUCUCUUCCAAGUUAGACACUGUUUAUGGUAAAUGCAUUGGAUUGUGUGAAACAUAUGAUUAUAAAUUCUAACAUGUAUGAUAGCCUUUUAACUCAGAAUGUUCACAUCUUAUAUGCCAAUUCAUAACAACAACUUUAUUUUUUAUUUUACAUAUGUAGCACCUAUAAAGCAACUUCUCAAGGAACCAAAAAUGUACCAAAUACAUAGUAAAAAGCAAGGGACAAAAUGAUAUAAUAAAAGCAUCAAGGAAAAGCUAACCUAAAAAAUAGGUUUUAAGGUAUGAUUUAAAAAUGCUUAAAGUUUGAGCAACGCAGACCGUCUGCAGAACAGUCAAGUCUGAGAUGAGUGCAAAGUACGCUUAGGAGUGUAGAGAGUUAAAAGAGCCAACAGAUACUAAGGGGCUAGACCAAGGAGUGUCCUUAUAUGUGAGCAUAAGGAUUUAAAAAUCAACACGGAACCUCACCAGAAGCCAAUGCAUGCAUGGAACUGCAAAACAGAAGUAUCAACAUUUUGCGUUAGAUAGCCAACUAUACAUAGCUGAUGAGUGGAGCCAAUAAGUAAGACCUCAGUCUUAUCACUAUUGAGACAUAUUGGGUCAUCCAUGUUUUUUUCUCAGAAAUACAAUGUGAGAGAAUGGAAACAUCCACAUUUUGACCAGGUUUAUAGGCUUAAUCUGAGUCUUAAUCGUCUGCAUAAAAAUUAUUGUUAAAUCUAAACCCAGACCAAAAGGACAUACAUAAAUAAGUAAGGGGCUCAGAAUUUAACCCUGGGGUAACCCAGUUGAGACAUAUGUCAGACCUAAAACCAUUCAUAAAAACAAAUUGCAGGUGAUCAAAGAGAUAAGAUUUAAACCAGAUUAAAGCAGUCCCAGAAACCCCCAAAACAGUUUCAAGAUUAAAAUUGUGAUUGACAGUAUCAAAAGCUGUGCUUAGGUCAAGAAAGAUAAGAAUGGAAAGAGAACCUGAGUCAGAGGCUAUUAGAAAAUCAUUAGUGUCCUCGAUUAAAGCUGUUUGUUUAUGAAAACCAGACACAAAAACAACUGACUGAGAAGGCUCAGAAAAAGUAUUACAUAAAAUGGUUGUGCAGCUGCGCCAGAAAAUGAAAAUUUGAAAUGGGGUGGUAAUUAUAUAAGUUGUCCAAAUCAGCAUUAUGCUUUUUUGGAACUGGCAUUACAGCAGCAGUUUUUAAUUCUGCUGGAACAACACCAGUGGACAGGGAGUCAUUGAUAAUGCUGAGAAUGGCCGGGCAAUAGGUUAAAACAAGAUUUAAAUAAACCCGUAGGAUUAAGUGUGCAGAUGUGUGUUGAUGAAUUAAUUAAAUCACCAAAAAUUCUUAAAAUGCUUUAAAGUGACUAUGGUCAUGGGGUAUUGAGACUUUACAAUGUAUACAGUGUGGUCAGAGAAAACUUCACUUCCUGUGCUUGGUGUGGUUAAGACUUUUCCUCUCUUUAUAAAAUGGCAGCAGUAGAGCUCAUUUGUGUUUUAUCAAGAUUACAACAUGAAAAUCAUGCAGCUUCAGAUUUGUAAGUGUAUUUACAUGAAAUGUAAUCAUGUCUGUUUAUUUAAUCUUUUUUAUUCACAGUGCAUUUAAAUGUGAAUUCUUAAUUAUUACGGCUGUUUUAAUAGAUCUCUUUGUAUGGUGUCAAGCUGCAGAGACUUUAGAUCAACUAACAGAUUUGGGACAAAAUGUGACUAUAAACUGUGAUCUGGAUGAAGGAGACAUUUACUGGUUAUUACUGAAAGUACCAGAUCCUCCUGUGAUGAUUUUACACACUUUAUCAACAACAUCUUUAUUCUUCAACACAACAUUCAGACAGAAAUAUUCAGUGCAAUCUAAGAAUCAUCUGUUUAUAAAUAACAUCACUGUUAAUGAAUUAGGAGUUUAUUACUGUAUGAAGACAGAUACACCUCCAAAAUUCAGCAGUGGCAUCAGACUACAUAUAAAUGGUAAGUGCUCCUGUUGUAAUCAAGUAUAUUCAUAUUCGCCUUUAAUAUGCUGCAAUGAAGUACACAAACAGUACAAAUUUGUACAGCUACAGUAAAAGAUUGUAAAGUUACUCAUUAUUUGCAGAGCCAACAGAAAGUCCAAAUGAAGAGAUCAGGUAUAUACAUCAGAAUCAGACACUAUGGCAGACUCUUACACUUAUACUCGGUCUGCUGAAUGGUGUUUUGUUCAUUGUGGUCAUAGGGCUAUUAAAGGUUUUUGUUGUUGGCCAUAAAAAAUUUGGAGAAUGUUCACAACUUAACACCGACCUACAGCAGAAUCAAGUGCAUGAAGACCCAAACCAGCUACAGUAUGCAGAAGUGGACUUUACAAAAGUGCGUAAAAAGUCUCGACCCAGCAAAGCCGACAGCACCUACGCUGCUCUCAAUCUGCCAAAACUGCGAACACAACAGUAUGACUAACCAAACAUAUAUCUCACAGCAUGCAACUGUGUAGUAUUCUGAAGUACUUUAAAACCCUCAUUUCAAUUAACAGACAUGUAUAUUUUAAUAACCACUUUGAAAGGCCUGCUUAUUCACUUCCUCCCAGAAAAUCUUGUGCAAUAAACAUAUAAUUCGAUGUGACUGCUUGAAACCAGUUCUAACUGUAAAUAUAGUUUAUGUAUAGUUUGACACAAAGUUAAGUGAAAUGACUCUUUGUCAGAUGUCUGCUUUAGUCAAUAACCAAUGGAAAUGUGGCAACUGAGAUGCAGCCAUUGCUUUUCCAGUGUGGUUUGGUUAAAUAAAGUGUUUUAACAAACGUAAAGUGUGAUGUGCUGAAUUGCUGUUUGGCUGCUGAACUGAAUGUAUUUUUUGUUGUUAUAAGUUUCUUUUGUAUUACCGCCUAGCAUGACCAGUGCAUUGGUGAUCAAAAUGGUUAAUCUUCUAAUUUAUCAGAAGAAAAUGUAUGUGGUGUUACGGUGGUCAUUGAAAACUGUGAUAA